rnacentral:rRNA from 1 species
AUUGAACGCUGGCGGCAGGCUUAACACAUGCAAGUCGAGCGGAGAUGAGGUGCUUGCACCUUAUCUUAGCGGCGGACGGGUGAGUAAUGCUUAGGAAUCUGCCUAUUAGUGGGGGACAACAUUCCGAAAGGAAUGCUAAUACCGCAUACGUCAUACGGGAGAAAGCAGGGGAUCUUCGGACCUUGCGCUAAUAGAUGAGCCUAGGUCGGAUUAGCUAGUUGGUGGGGUAAAGGCCUACCAAGGCGACGAUCUGUAGCGGGUCUGAGAGGAUGAUCCGCCACACUGGGACUGAGACACGGCCCAGACUCCUACGAGAGGCAGCAGUGGGGAAUAUUGGACAAUGGGGGGAGCCCUGAUCCAGCCAUGCCGCGUGUGUGAAGAAGGCCUUAUGGUUGUAAAGCACUUUAAGCGAGGAGGAGGCUACUGAGACUAAUACUCUUGGAUAGUGGACGUUACUCGCAGAAUAAGCACCGGCUAACUCUGUGCCAGCCGCCGCCGUAAGAC